rnacentral:rRNA from 1 species
UACGGGAGGCAGCAGUGGGGAAUCUUCCGCAAUGGGCGAAAGCCUGACCCAGCGACGCCGCGUGAGGGAAGAAGGUCUUCGGAUUGUAAACCUCUUUCAGCAAGGAAGAAGAAAGUGACGGUACUUGCAGAAGAAGCCACGGCUAACUACGUGCCAGCAGCCGCGGUAAU